AUUGAACGCUGGCGGCGCGCCUUACACAUGCAAGUCGAACGGUAACGGGCCUCCGGGUGCCGACGAGUGGCGAACGGGUGAGUAAUGUAUCGGAACGUACCUUUCAGUGGGGGAUAACGUAGCGAAAGUUACGCUAAUACCGCAUAUUCUGUGAGCAGGAAAGCAGGGGAUCGCAAGACCUUGCGCUGAUUGAGCGGCCGAUAUCAGAUUAGCUAGUUGGUGAGGUAAAGGCUCACCAAGGCGACGAUCUGUAGCGGGUCUGAGAGGAUGAUCGGCCACACUGGAACUGAGGCACGGGCCAGACUCCUACGGGAGGCAGCAGUGGGGAAUUUUGGCCGAUGGGGGCAACCCUGAUCCAGCCAUGCCGCGUGAGUGAAGAAGGCCUUCGGGUUGUAAAGCUCUUCCAGCCGGGAAGAAAUCGCAUCAGCUAAUACCUGGUGUGGAUGACGGUACCGGAAUAAGAAGCACCGGCUAACUACGUGCCAGCCGCCGCCGUAACAC
rnacentral:rRNA from 1 species